GGGCUGCAGUCGAGAAUCUUCCACAAUGGGCGAAAGCCUGAUGGAGCGACGCCGCGUGCGUGAUGAAGCUCUUCGGAGUGUAAAGCGCUUUUAUAUUUGAAGAAGCCCCGAUUUAUCGUGGGUUGACAUUAGAAUAGGAAUAAGGGGUUGCUAAACUCGUGCCAGCAGCAGCGGUAAUACGAGUGCCCCGAGCGUUGUCCGGAAUUACUGGGCGUAAAGAGUGUGUAGGAGGCUUUGUUAGUCUUGCUUUAAAUCCCAUCGCUUAACGUUGGGACUGGGUGAGAAACGGCAAAGCUAAGAGGAUGCGAGAGGUUGACGGAACUCUGGGUGUAGGGGUGAAAUCCGUUGAUAUCCAGGGGAACACCAAAAGCGAAGGCAGUCGGCUGGCGCAUUCCUGACUCUGAGACACGAAAGCGUGGGUAGCGAAAGGGAUUAGAUACCCGUGUAGUC
rnacentral:rRNA from 1 species